UACGUAGGUCCCGAGCGUUGUCCGGAUUUAUUGGGCGUAAAGCGAGCGCAGGUGGUUUAUUAAGUCUGGUGUAAAAGGCAGUGGCUCAACCAUUGUAUGCAUUGGAAACUGGUAGACUUGAGUGCAGGAGAGGAGAGUGGAAUUCCCGGUGUAGCGGUGAAAUGCGUAGAGAUCGGGAGGAACACCAGUGGCGAAGGCGGCCUACUGGGCUCUAACUGACGCUGAGGCACGAAAGCGUGGGUAGCAAACAGG
rnacentral:rRNA from 1 species